CAGCUGCUGGGUCUCUGCCACACCAGAGUCGGUUUGGAGGAACUGGAGGAGGUGCGGAUGAGGGGACAGGGCUGCGGAGCUGGCACUGAGCGCUGGGACGGAGAGGCUUCGCGGUGUCUUGGCUGGAAUAUUGAAGGAUGUUGACUCUCAGGAAUUUGGUCUCAACAGCUUACGCAAGAUCAAAGAAGAGUUCAGUAGGAUAACAACACUUCAUCUGGAGCAAACCUUUUUGUCAAAACUGGACACACACACUCCCAAACUCCUGGAGAUAUUUAGGACAAAGGGCGGAGUUGCAGGCACAAAAUCAGACUGAUGCCGGAUUCACUUGGCCAAGUAAAGUUACAGGGAC